rnacentral:rRNA from 1 species
AUGGAAUUGAAGGAGGAUGGACUGAGGGAGUACGCUGAUCUCAAGCAAUCCUUGUUGCCUUACGACAUAUCUAUUAUUAUAACAGGUUUCUCUGCCUUCACUCUGGCUUCGAAUGAUGGAUCUGCCUACUCAUUCCUCCUCGGCUGGAUUGGAGGGUUCUUGUAUCUACUGCUACUCCAAAUAUUUGUGGACGGGUUGCCGACAAUUAGUUCUCCUUCAAAAGCGGGCAGUUCAGAGCCCACUGUGAAUUUCAGUGGUGUAAGAAGGCCAUGGUUGAUAUUGCCGAUUGUAAUGGUUGCGGGGGCUGUUGCACUGAAGUAUGGUGUUGGUGGUGACAGCUUAGAGCUGACUCAAACUGAGCUCUUUGUUGGUGCCGCAGGGUUCUUGGCGAACAGGGUUGAUGUUCUUCUGGCAGCAUUCAAACCCUUAGAAAGUAAUUUGGAGAGCGAAGAUGGAUCUGUGGACUGA